UACGAGGGGGGCAAGCGUUGUCCGGAAUUAUUGGGCGUAAAGAGCUCGUAGGCGGUCUGUUGCGUCGGCUGUGAAAACCCGAGGCUCAACCUCGGGCCUGCAGCCGAUACGGGCAGACUAGAGUUCGGCAGGGGAGACUGGAAUUCCUGGUGUAGCGGUGAAAUGCGCAGAUAUCAGGAGGAACACCGGUGGCGAAGGCGGGUCUCUGGGCCGAUACUGACGC
rnacentral:rRNA from 1 species